CCGCAUAUAGCGCCGCCGCCGCGGCAUCUCAUAUCUCACCCGUAGCCCCCUUGGCCGAUUCCAAUAGCACCUCCACCGCCCCCCAACUCCAAUGCCCACGCUCGCCUUCCACGGGAUGAAGGCCGCCUAUCUCCAACGCUUGCCCCUCCAUUGGAUCGCCGGCGCCGCCACCAACCAUUUACUGCUGACCACGCGAAUUUGCCAUUCUUCCACAACAUGGACAAGCGCAUUCACAUAGUACCCCUACAACUCCUCAAGUCAGGCCACCGCUCCUCCGCUCGGCCGCUGCCCCACGGACGCGGUCGCUCCUCCACUCGGCUGCCGCCGCAAAGAUGCGGUCACUGCCGGCAUCUCCUGGAGCGUGGGUCGUCGCCGCCCACCGCUCGGCUGCUGCCCCACAGACGUGCUCGCCCACACCCCUACCUCCGCUGGCCUCUCCUGGAGCGCGGGUCGUCGUUGCCGCCUGCCGUCGCCGUCGCCACACGCAGUGCAUUGAGGCCCUAGCCAUCAAGAGGCAUCUUUCCCCGUGAGGCUGGAGUAAGACAAGUUGCAGAGGGUGUUCAUCAUGUGUCGGGAUUGCUUGAAGCACGAUUCACUAAUAUGGAUGAGGCCUGGGGCAUCCUGCAAACUGGAAGCAAAGCCAAAGUUGUUGGUUCUACAAACGCUAAGGAGCACAGCAGCCGGUCACACUGGUUGUUCACCAGAUUUUCAUUCACUCGCACUAAGUUGCAGACCGUAAAAUCCUGUCCUCAUUAAUUUUCCAUACAAUAUAUACUGUGUGAUAGUGAAAGGAGAAAACUUGAUGAAUGGAGCCAUAUCCGCUCUUGCAACUACGAGCCAACCCAUACCCUUCAGGAAUUCAAAUUUAACACACUUGCUGCAAGACUCACUAAGUAUGCAAAUUUUCUUCUCCUUGUGCCGGUAUGGUUUGAAGCUAUUCUUUAGUUUUGGUGAUAAUGUGUGUAAAGCACUGCAGGUGGAGACUCCUAAACUUUGAUGUUUUUUCAAGUUAGCCCAAA